GAUGAACGCUGACCGAAUGCUUAACACAUGCAAGUCAACUUGAACUUCGGUUUGGGUGGCGGACGGGUGAGUAACGCGUAAAGAACUUGCCUCACAGCUAGGGACAACAUUUGGAAACGAAUGCUAAUACCUGAUAUUAUGAUUAUAUGGCAUCGUAUAAUUAUGAAAGCUAUAUGCGCUGUGAGAGAGCUUUGCGUCCCAUUAGCUAGUUGGAGAGGUAACAGCUCACCAAGGCGAUGAUGGGUAGCCGGCCUGAGAGGGUGAUCGGCCACAAGGGGACUGAGACACGGCCCUUACUCCUACGGGAGGCAGCAGUGGGGAAUAUUGGACAAGGGACCGAGAGUCUGAUCCAGCAAUUCUGUGUGCACGAUGAAGUUUUUCGGAAUGUAAAGUGCUUUCAGUCGGGAAGAAAAAAAUGACGGUACCAACAGAAGAAGAGACGGCUAAAUACGUG
rnacentral:rRNA from 1 species